AAGACCUUGUGCUUUUGGAGCGGCCGAUGCCUGAUUAGCUUGUUGGUAAGGUAAAAGCUUACCAAGGCUUCGAUCAGUAGCUGGUCUGAGAGGACGGCCAGCCACACUGGGACUGAGACACGGCCCAGACUCCUACGGGAGGCAGCAGUGGGGAAUUUUGGACAAUGGGGGAACCCUGAUCCAGCCAUGCCGCGUGAGUGAAGAAGGCCUUCGGGUUGUAAAGCUCUUUCAGCCGGAACGAAACGGUUACGGAUAAUACCCGUGACUACUGACGGUACCGGAAGAAGAAGCACCGGCUAACUACGUGCCAGCAGCCGCGGUAAUACGUAGGGUGCGAGCGUUAAUCGGAAUUACUGGGCGUAAAGCGUGCGCAGGUGGUUUUGUAAGUCAGAUGUGAAAGCCCCGGGCUCAACCUGGGAACU
rnacentral:rRNA from 1 species